GAUGAACGCUGGCGGCGUGCCUAAUACAUGCAAGUAGAACGCUGAAGGAGGAGCUUGCUCUUCUGGAUGAGUUGCGAACGGGUGAGUAACGCGUAGGUAACCUGCCUGGUAGCGGGGGAUAACUAUUGGAAACGAUAGCUAAUACCGCAUGACAACAGUUAUUGCAUGAUAACUGUUUAAAAGGGGCAACUGCUCCACUACCAGAUGGACCUGCGUUGUAUUAGCUAGUUGGUGAGGUAACGGCUCACCAAGGCGACGAUACAUAGCCGACCUGAGAGGGUGAUCGGCCACACUGGGACUGAGGCACGGCCCAGACUCCUACGGGAGGCAGCAGUAGGGAAUCUUCGGCAAUGGACGGAAGUCUGACCGAGCAACGCCGCGUGAGUGAAGAAGGGUUUCGGAUCGUAAAGCUCUGUUGUAAGAGAAGAACGAGUGUGAGAGUGGAAAGUUCACACUGUGACGGUAUCUGACCAGAAAGGGACGGCUAACUACGUG
rnacentral:rRNA from 1 species